CCUACGGGUGUCAGCAGUGAGGAAUAUUGGUCAAUGGGCGGGAGCCUGAACCAGCCAAGUAGCGUGCAGGAUGACGGCCCUACGGGUUGUAAACUGCUUUUAUACGGGAAUAACGUGACUCACGUGUGGGUGUUUGCAUGUACCGUAUGAAUAAGGAUCGGCUAACUCCGUGCCAGCAGCCGCGGUAAUACGGAGGGUCCGAGCGUUAUCCGGAUUUAUUGGGGUUAAAGGGUGCGUAGGCGGGUUGUCAAGUGUGCUGGGAAAUGUGCGGGCUCAAACCGGACCUAGCAGUUAAAACUGGCGAGCUUGAGUCCGCGGAAAGCAGGCGGAAUGCGUCGUGUAGCGGUGAAAUGCUGAGAUAUCACGAAGAACUCCGAUUGCGAAGGCAGCUUACUGCAGCGCGACUGACGCUGAUGCUCGAAAGCGCGGGUAUCGAACAGGAUUAGAUACCCUUGUAGUC
rnacentral:rRNA from 1 species